CCUACGGGCGGCAGCAGUCGAGAAUCAUUCACAAUGGGGGAAACCCUGAUGGUGCGACGCCGCGUGGGGGAAUGAGGGUCUUCGGAUUGUAAACCCCUGUCAUGUGGGAGCAAAUUAAAAAGAUAGUACCACAAGAGGAAGAGACGGCUAACUCUGUGCCAGCAGCCGCGGUAAUACAGAGGUCUCAAGCGUUGUUCGGAAUCACUGGGCGUAACGCGUGCGUAGGCUGUUUCGUAAGUCGUGUGUGAAAGGCGCGGGCUCAAGCCGCGGACGGCACAUGAUACUGCGAAACUAGAGUAAUGGAGGGGGAAGCGGAAGUCUCGGUGUAGCAGUGAAAUGCGUAGAUAUCGAGAGGAACACUCGUGGCGAAGGCGGGUUCCUGGACAUUAACUGACGCUGAGGCACGAAGGCCAGGGGAGCGAAAGGGAUUAGAUACCCGUGUAGUC
rnacentral:rRNA from 1 species